UUAGGCCCAUUGUAUACGAGCUAUUUAAUGAGAGAUACUUAGAUGGAGAGAAGCCAAGAAGAUCGAAUAGGAUCCGGGCUUUGCAUGGAUCUCUCUCACUCUCAAGGAGAAAUCGCAUGAGUUUAUUAGCCUUCCUUCUCCUAAUGUGAGUCCGCGGCGCUAAAUACGCGCUUGGCCUCAGCCAGGCCUACAUAUGCACGCUCAAACGCGCGCCCGCACGCACAAAGGGGUUGCAGGACGGCGGUUGAGAACCAGGGGACUCGCCGUGGUGCCCUAGGAAAUGCGACUCCGCUAGCUUCCUCGGAGCUCUUCCCAUCUCCAUUCUCAUGCCACCAGCUUCGCAUGGCUGUUGCAACUCUCUGUAGUAUUUGGUUAUCUUCUACAAGUAGUAUAUGUAAGCCUUCAAGAGGAUUUUGAUCUGUAACUAUUGAAGCUACACAGUCCCCCUUAUGCACACUAUACUGCAUAUCCUGACUUUUAAGGAGCCUUGAACUUCUACAAAUUGGAUGCGUCAGAAUCAUCUGAACUGAUAGCAUCAAAAUGAAUGGAAUCCAAUUCAUGGCUUUCAUGCAAGUCUUCAUCCAUGGUUGAGUUUAACAGAUUCCUACCAUUUUGGUUUUUGAAGUUUACCUCAUUUACAACAGCGUCCAAGAUAUGGAUCAUCUUUGUCUUGUAUAAUGGUUUGCUAAUCAUCAAAAAAUGCCCUCUCCGUCGCAGCUCCACCUUGAUGGCAUUGGAGCAAGGAUUGGGGUGCCGGCCAUGCACUCGCUGCCAGCCAACAGGUUCUGUAUCAACAAGGAACCAACUCCAGGCAAUUGCAUAGCGUUGAACUCCUUGGAAUGGAGCAGUAUCAUUAGAUACCAAUUGCACCUGUAGGUGCUGCUUUGUUUUGCUCGGCGUCGAGCCAUAAGGCUUGGUUGCAGAAAAUCAGUAGCAAGUAUCUCCUUCAAAUUGUUCGUGAACAAAAAAGACAUCACGAUGAUUUUGUGAAGUCAUCAAUCUUUACAAAAGAAUCAAAUAAUCAUUACAAAACUAUUUGCUUCAACCAGCCAAGGAGCACUUCUGAAGCCUAUAUAAUUUAAAUCAAACCAAAGAGUCAGCCAAACCAUUUACCAUGAUGGCCAGGCGUGCAACAAAGAUGCUGUAGUAGGAGGAGAGACAGCCAGUAGUUUGGUAGCUCAAUUCCUCUUCUUCUGCCGCCUCAUGGGUAAUUCUCCUCUGUGGAAGGGUGGAUGUUCUGCUCUCUCUGCAGUUGAUGAAGUUGUGGAGCUUCUUGAAGAGCAUCUCCGAUGGCCUCAUCGCAGCUGAAGAAGUCUGAUGUGCCCCUUCUGCCAUGCUUCAUCCACCUGAGAAAAAAUAUUCUGCAUUACCAAGUAUCCAUUGUUGUAAAGCAAUGCUCAGUGUGGCCCGGUUUUGACACUGUGAUAUGUCAACUCCCACUUAACAAGGAUCCUGUAGCAAAUUCCCAAAAGCAGUUUGCUCA